UACGAAGGGGACUAGCGUUGUUCGGAAUUACUGGGCGUAAAGCGCGCGUAGGCGGAUCGCUAAGUCAGGGGUGAAAUCCCAGGGCUCAACCCUGGAACUGCCUUUGAUACUGACGAUCUGGAGAUCGGGAGAGGUUGGUGGAAUUCCGAGUGUAGAGGUGAAAUUCGUAGAUAUUCGGAGGAACACCAGAAGCGAAGGCGGCCAACUGGCCCGAUACUGACGCUGAGGCGCGAAAGCGUGGGGAGCAAACAGGAUUGAGAACCCAGUAGUCAGAACCAAGAUACCUCCUGCACCG
rnacentral:rRNA from 1 species